AUUGAACGCUGGCGGCAGGCUUAACACAUGCAAGUCGAGCGAGCGGCGCACGGGAGAGUAAUGUCUGGGACAGUGCGUGAUGGAGGGGGAUAUCUACUGGAAACGGUAGCCUACACCGUAUACCAUCAGGUGUGCCCAGAUGGGAUUCGAUAGUAGGUGGGGUAAUGGCUCACCUAGGCGACGAUCCCUCUCUGGUCUGAGAGGAUGAACAGCAACACUGGAACUGAGACACGGUCCAGACUCCUACGGGAGGCAGCAGUGGGGAAUAUUGCACAAUGGGCGCAAGCCUGAUGCAGCCAUGCCGCGUGUGUGAAGAAGGCCUUCGGGUUGUAAAGCACUUUCAGCGAGGAGGCGUUACUCGCAGAAGAAGCACCGGCUAACUCCGUGCCAGCAGCCGCGGUAAUAC
rnacentral:rRNA from 1 species